rnacentral:rRNA from 1 species
UACGUAGGGGGCGAGCGUUGUCCGGAUUUAUUGGGCGUAAAGAGCUCGUAGGCGGUUUGGUAAGUCGGGUGUGAAACCUCCAGGCUCAACCUGGAGACGCCACCUGAUACUGCUGUGGCUAGAGUCCGGUAGGGGAGCGUGGAAUUCCCGGUGUAGCGGUGAAAUGCGCAGAUAUCGGGAGGAACACCAAUGGCGAAGGCAGCUCGCUGGGACGGUACUGACGCUGAGGCGCGAAAGCGUGGGGAGCAAACAGGG